UGGACCAAUGAUGAUGACUGGUGGCUUAUGAGGCACUGUGAUGAUAACAUGGGUCUGGAACUCUGAGGUCCAG